AAAGGAUUACAUGAAUGAACCGGUGAGUAAAUUUCAAAAUUGCUACCUGUUGAUGCAUUCUGAAGUAAUGUUACCUAAUUAGACACCUAUCGGUUAUGCUGUCUCUGAGGCUCCAGAAAGUUGAAAUAAAGCGGAGAUGUUAGUGGGUCUGAAUAUGCGUACCAUUCGUGUAAGGAAAUAACAGAAGGACAUUGUUACUGUGUGUGGACUCUGUUUAUGCUUUGCAGCAUGAAGUGGAAACUUUCCGAGUGUUCGUGAAUCUGUCGUAAAUAACACUGCUACUAAAUUAUUACCUUCUGCACAAUCACACUUGUAUUUCCAAUACAUCAUUAUGUCCCCUCCAUUUCCCAGGGCAUAACCUUAAUUCCCUGCAACCCUUCU
rnacentral:lncRNA from 1 species